UCUCCGUAGGUGAACCUGCGGAGGGAUCAUUACUGAGUGAGGGCUUCGGUCCGACCUCCAACCCUUUGUGAACCAAACUUGUUGCUUCGGGGGCGACCCUGCCGUCACGGCACCGGCGCCCCCGGCGGACAUCAAACACUGCAUCCCUGCGUCGGAGCGAUUUAGUAAAUCUAAACAAAACUUUCAACAACGGAUCUCUUGGUUCUGGCAUCGAUGAAGAACGCAGC
rnacentral:misc_RNA from 1 species